GGUCGGUUGGUGCAAUGGUAGCAUGUAGACCUCCUAUUACUGUGCAUUUGGAUACUCGCUAUGUGUAUCGGCAGUAGGUCUAGUCUAGGGUUGCGGGUUCGAGUCCCGUGCUGACCG